CUUUGAGCAAAGAUGGACCUUUCAGCCUGUGGCGGAUGAAGGCUAUUUCCCUCAACCAAAUUCAGCCGUUUCACAUGAUCAAAAUUUGGCAUUAAUUUCACCAGUUACUGAUCAGGAGAUUAGUAAGGCUCUUAGUACUAUGAAUACCGAUAAAGCCCGAGGACCUCAUGGAUUUCAAGUUUUAUUUUUUAAGGAAUUUUGGCCUAUUAUCACUACGAUGUUCUUAAAGCUGUUCAUUAUUUCUUUCAGCAGUUCUCCAUGCC
rnacentral:lncRNA from 1 species